GGCUCGAUUAGGAUGAACCCGGGCACUUAGCCAUGCAGGAACAACGGCGAGCCUCUAGCCCCAUUAGGAGCGGCAAUGGGCGCCUCCUGGAUCAGAAGCGUAGGAGACACCCUGCUGGAUCUGGUGGGGUGGAAGUCAGCAGCGGGUCUGCGAGGGCAGUGAUCAGCAGUGGUGGACGGCGACUGAAAGCUCAGCUCGAGCCAGAACAAGCGAGAACAAAAACGGACUAGAAGAGUGUGACGUUGCAAGAUUUAACAGAGUGAAAACAGAGCUCCCACACAAUGGGAGGGGACCCAAAGGGGGUUACUGCUACUGGAUCGAAUAAUGCCUGGGUUUAAAUCCCGAUCAUUGUCCCUCCCGCUGUGCUCUCAGGCGAUAGAUGAUUUGAUUAUUUCUUUACCCCCCGCUUUUAGCCUAACUGGUAUUUUAGUGAGCUUUCUUUACUACCUGAUAGGCUGGGUGUGAGCUGAGUUACAAGCCCAGUGUUUAAAGCCUCUUAAUUGGGAGAGAGGAGUUCUGGAGGCAAGCAUAUUUGGCAGCUCCAGAGUACAGGCUAUUUCAGUAUUUUUCACUUACCAGUAAGAUUCUCAUGGCUAUCUUCUUGAGUAUUACUUGAAAUUAUUAUGCUGUUGAAAAAAACAAACUGAGAAAUCAUUUGUGGGGUAAAAAAGAUAUGGACAGCAAUAAGUACUUACCUCUAUAUUGAAUGAUAGGUAAGUGAAAAUACAUUAAAGUAGUAUAAGUUUAAAUUGUAAAGAAAUUGUUAAAAAUUCUUGCCUUGCUUAAACAAAAGUUAAAUUUAAUGACAUGCUUGAAAUACUCCAUUACUUAUAUAUUCUCUUGUUUAUUUACCUGCUCACUCAUUUAAUAAAUGUUUAUUAUUUAUCUAUUACAUUACAUUUUCAAUAUUAGAAAAAUUGUAUUAGCAUAGCCAACAUUUGUGUGAAACACAUAAUUUAAUUUAGAAAAUAUUAAAUAAUAUAAAAACGAGUCACAUUAAGGUUUUAUAAAAAUAACACAGAGUAAUCAGUGAGAAUAUAAUGAAUGAUGAAAUUAACAUUAUGGGGUUAAAAUGGUCUUUGUUAAAUAUGAUUAUUCCAUUUGAAACCAAAGAAUAACUGGGUUAGACAAUACAAUGAUAAAGGAAAGUAGCUGAGAAAAUAACAGAAGGAAAGGCUCUGAUUAGGGAGAGAACUUGGAUCCUUUGUGGAACUGGAAGCAGACCUUUGUGUGAGGAGUAGUGCUGAGAUGAAGACUGGAAGAGCACUAUCUACAGAGCAACGCCUGCGGUGGCCAAUGGGAGACCAUUGAGAUGGAGCCUGCCAUAGGAGUGAAAGGGUAAAUGGAGUGAGCAGUGCAUAUGGAAAUAAAUGGAAAAACACUGUAGAUGAAAUAUCUUGUGGUGAAGAAUGGAAGCGCACUAUGUGUGAGGCUUUGGUGAAGAUUGGAAGAGCAUUGUGAAUAGGUCAUGCUCCUUCUUGUUAAAAAUAAUAAAUUCACUUACACUGAGCUUAAGAAUUUCUAUGCAUUGAAACAUACUAAAUGAAUGAAGCAGUAUGCCAAAACUUAUUAAUACAUAAUUAGAGCAAAUAUUUGUAAACUUUUCAAAAACUGAGAGUCAGUAUUAGGCAAACCAGUACUCGUUUCUAGAAUGCUUUUAAAAUAUCUCAAAUCACUAUUAAAAGCACAAGUGACCCAAUAG